UUGGAACUGAGACACGGUCCAAACUCCUACGGGAGGCAGCAGUGAGGAAUAUUGGGCAAUGGAGGCAACUCUGACCCAGCCAUGCCGCGUGAGUGAAGAAGGUUUUCGGAUUGUAAAGCUCUUUCGGGUGUGACGAUGAUGACGGUAGCACCUAAAGAAGCCCCGGCUAACUUCGUGCCAGCAGCCGCGGUAAUACGAAGGGGCAAGCGUUGUUCGGAAUUACUGGGCGUAAAGGGAGUGUAGGCGGUUAUGUAAGAUAGUGGUGAAAUCCCAGAGCUUAACUUUGGAAUUGCCAUUAUGACUAUGUGGCUAGAAUUACAGAGAGGAUAGUGGAAUACCCAGUGUAGAGGUGAAAUUCGUAGAUAUUGGGUAGAACACCAGUGGCGAAGGCGACUAUCUGGCUGUAUAUUGACGCUGAGGCUCGAAAGCAUGGGGAUCAAACAGGAUUAGAUACCCUGGUAGUCCAUGCUGUAAACGAUGAGUGCUUGUUGUCGGUAUUGUAUCGGUGACGAAGUUAACGCGUUAAGCACUCCGCCUGGGGAGUACGGUCGCAA
rnacentral:rRNA from 1 species